UAAGGGGUAUGUGCAUGUAUGUGUAUCAAUAGGUAGAUGUGUAGUAUUGGUAAGUAAGCAUUCUGCUCAGAAGUUACUUGGGAUAUAUUUAAAUAACAGUCUCUACCUUCAGUGUUGGGGCCAAAUGAUAAAAAUGUACCCAGAUGAUGCUACCACUUCCUGAUCUCAGUCCAUGUCUCAUAAAACUCCUUUUAUAAACCUUACAUUGCUAUACUUCAAAUGGUUUUACUUCAAUAUUUUUUUCAAAGGAAUGGGCUUUCUUCUGUGCCUGUAAAGUGUAUUCACAAUCUCCUUGUCUGGAAGGACUUGCCACCAUUUAAACUUGUGCAAUGUAAGAAUUAAUACUCGUGAUUAGGAGAUGGGAACAUGAACUGACUGGCAAAUGGCUCACUGUGUCACAUUUUAAUUUUUGAUCUUGUUAAUGAGGAAUAUUCUUAAAGCAUAAAUGUUAUGUAAGGCAAAUUUUCUUUAUGAACUUUUAUGUCUUUGCUUAAAUAUGAAAUAAGGUAAACUAGAAGUUUAGGCAGUGCAGAAUAGAGGACUCUGAAGCCAGACCUGGGUUUAAAUCUUGCCUUUGCCACUUACCAGUUCUAUGACUUUGGAUAAUUUAUACAACCUCCUUCUGCCUCAGUUUCCCUGAAUGAAAAAUUGAAAUAAUAACAUAUCUAAAGUGCAAAUAGUAAAUGGUAUCAUAAGCAAAGUUUAGUUGUAAGCUAUAAACUUUGAAAGAAUAAUGGCCUGUAUAAAAAUGUAAGUGUAUGUUAUAUAAGCCUUAUUAAGUUGUAUUUAUUUAACCCAAGAUAUAUUUUAAAUAAUCAUAAUGAAGACCUGCAUCCAUGUGGGUCCAUGUGCUAUCGAACAUACCAUGUCUUCUAGGACAAAGAGGAGAAAGGUAAUUCAAUGUGUAUGCUCAGUGUCCAACAUUUAAAAAUUAUAUAUUGUAUAUUGUGUAAAGAUAUUUUUCCAACUUAGGUAAAUGGUCUCUUGAUUUAGGAAAAGCAGUUCAGUUUUCCAUAGGACAUUCACAAGAAGAGCAGACUUCUCUUGUAGAGUACAACGUUUUGUUAUUGUUUCUUUGCUCAGUCAGGAGUGCUGCCCCCUUUCUUUGGAUCACUCCUUACCUUCCUUUAAGCCUCAGUUUAAAAAUCUCUUCAAAAAGGGGAGUUCCCUGGUGGUCUAGUGGUUAGGACUAGUUCCUUUCACCACUGUAGCCUCAUUCUAUUCCUAGUCUGGGAACUGAGAUCUCACACCACGCUGCUGCACACAGCAGCAAAAAACAAAACAAAAAAAGUCUUCAAAAGGACUUUGCUUAUGACCUCAUCUAAAACAGCUCUAACCGCUUGACUUUCUUUAAAGUGCAUGUAAAUACAUGAAGUCAUCAUAUGCAUUUGACUGCUAUCUUGUUCUCCACUUUUUCCAUUAAGAAGAUAAUAUAUGUUUUGUAUCUUUGUAUUCUUAAUGUCAAGUUUAAUGCCAGGCACAUAGUAAAUACUCAACAAAAAUUGAAUGAAUGAGUAAAUGAUGUCAGCUAAUCAUGAUCUUCUUACUCUGCAAUGUUUGCUUUGGUUAUUUGCUUCUCUUAGAUUUUUAUCUUGGAAAACUUUUAUCUAUAUUCAGCAUUUUCAUAUAAGUCUGAACUAUUUUUUUUUUUAAGCCUGAAUUAUUUCUCUCUCCUCUCUUUUUUUCCCCUGGGACUGUUUCAGUGCUUCUGACCUGAGCUAAUUGACUUCCCAACUUUCAAAUGACCCAGCACUUAAAAUGAUUAAUAUGUAGUAGGGAAGAGGUCAGGUAUUUUUAUCUGGAAGAAUCAAAGUUAUAGACAAAAACAACAUGCUUAUCUGAUGGAGAAUGUAGAUAGUAGACUCAGACUAACACGAUCUGAAUUCAUUUGACAGCUUUACUUACUUUCACCAAAAACUCAGCCGAUGACUGCCACUUUCCAUUGAGCCGUUGACUAUCAUAACUUAGUCCUUAAUUAUGUAAAUUUUACCAAAUGAUGGUUAAAUAAUGAGUAUGUAAUUGUAUGUGAGUUCUGUUCCACCCCCACCUCCCAGGAGUGUUAUCUUUCCACCCCCACCGGCCAUGAGUGUUAUCUUUUUCUGUGUUUCUAUGGUUUUCUUUCUCUUGGCAAUUUCUGCUAGACAAGAUGAAAUGUGUAUAUCUAAUUAUCACCACUAAGUACAGGGUCGUCCCAGGGUUGUCUUAGUUAUCUUCAUGUAUGUUUGUAAAUAUGUCAUCUCUUCAGACAUUAGUGCUAAUGUGAGGGAGAAAUUAUUAUAAAUAUACUGAGUUAGUUUGCUAUGGCUGCCAUAAAAAAAUACUAUAAACUCAAAAAUCAUGCUUUUAUUGUUUCAAAGUUCCAGAGGCCAUGAGUCUAAGAUCAAGAUGUUGUUAUGGUUGAUUGUUUCUGAGGGAAAUACAGGAAAAUAUGUACCAUGCCUUUCUCUUAGCUUCUUAUAGUUUACUAGAAAUAUUUAGCAUUGUUUGAUUGUGGAUGCUUUGCCCUAAUUCCUGCCUUAAUGUUCACAUGGCAUUCUUCUUUCCGUGUACAUCAUGUCUCUUCACAUUUACUACUUUUAUACAGACAACAGUCAUCUUGGAUUAAGUACUCACCCUGCCUCAGUAACACCUCAACUUAGAUCUGCAACAAUUCUAUCUUCAAUUAAGUUUACAUUUUGAGGUACUGGGGUUUAGAAUUAUAUCAUGAGAAUUUUAGGGGAUGUAAUUUGACUAAUAACAUGAUAGCAUCGUGAUAGUCAAACAUGAGACAUCCAGAGUUUAUCAGAUGUUUAUCUGGAUGUUCACUGAUGGCUAAAAGAAUGUUAGUCAUUUGAGGAUUUGGCUGAUUUGUUGCAAAUAAAAACCUGAAUUUAUUCAACAUUGUUUAUUUACUUUGCAGACCUAGUCUUUUUAAUUUGUACCUUUGUUUAUGUGCUUGCAUAUAUCUGUGUCACAUGUACUUCUAUUUCCCACCUGCUUUUCUUGCUCCAUAGAUGUGAUGAAGGGAAAUGUCAGAAGCUUUAUAGUGUUAGUAUAUUUCUACAAUGAGUGUAAUACUUUUUUUCCAUAACUAUUAUCUCUUCUUUACAACCUUUCAAAACUACGAAUUUUGCUUUAGUUUUUAAAUUCUUCUUUAGUUUUUAAUUUCUCAUUCUCUCCAAAUAAUGCAUUCAUAAGUAAACACAAUUAGCAAAUAUACUAUAAAGCUACAUAAUUUAAGAGGUGAGGCACUCUUCAAAUCCACCCACUAUUGAUUAAAGUAGGCAGUAGACUACCUUUUCCGAAAAAAAAAUCUUUAAUGGUACCUUGAUACCAUUUACCUUAAUUGUAUUCAAAACAAGAAACCAAGAAAAAAAGCUGGCCUUGACAAGUGCAAGUCAUUGAUUUGGGUAUGUCAGAGAAAUUCUCUUUAAAAUUAUAGAUUCUUUUUCCAAGUAAAACUAGUUAUAUGAUUUUUAAUACCAAAGAAAAUGUCUGCCUAAUGUAAAUAGAAAUAAGCUAGUGAAUAAACUUUUCAGAGAUGUGCAAUAUACUAUCCUUUAAAAUAAAUAGACUUUUGAAGUUCCUAUUGUGGCUCUGCAGGUUAAGAACCAAACUGGUAUCCAUGAGCUGUGGGUUUGAUCUCUGGCCUCAAUCAGUGGGCUAAGGAUCUGGCAUUGCUACAAGUUGAGGUGUAGGUUGCAGAUGCAGCUCAGAUCUGGUGUGGCUUUGGCUUAGGCUGGCAGCUAUAGUUCCAUUCAACUCCUGGCCUGGAAACUUCCACAUGCCACAGGUACAGCCCUAAAAAAAGAAAAAAA
rnacentral:lncRNA from 1 species